rnacentral:lncRNA from 1 species
CUGGAACCGGUGGCCGUGCCUUCUGAAGAUGGAAACACAAGUACUGGUAACCCAAGCGAAUGGGAAUUGCCCUGUUCUUCCAGAUCAUCGUCGGCGGAAUGUUCUUCUAUGCAUCAACUGAAGCACCACAGGAACUACAA